GAAGCAGUCCUGCGUCUUACCAUGACAGUCGAGGGGAACGGCAUUUAGUGCUUGCACUGAAUGGACGUCGACCGGCGCACGGGUGAGUAACGCGUAUCCAACCUUCCCAUUACUGUGGGAUAACCUGCCGAAAGGCAGACUAAUACCUCAUAGUCUUCGAUGACGGCAUCAGAUUUGAAGUAAAGAUUUAUCGGUAAUGGAUGGGGAUGCGUCUGAUUAGCUUGUUGGCGGGGUAACGGCCCACCAAGGCAACGAUCAGUAGGGGUUCUGAGAGGAAGGUCCCCCACAUUGGAACUGAGACACGGUCCAAACUCCUACGGGAGGCAGCAGUGAGGAAUAUUGGUCAAUGGACGGAAGUCUGAACCAGCCAAGUAGCGUGCAGGAAGACGGCCCUAUGGGUUGUAAACUGCUUUUGUAUGGGGAUAAAGUCAAUCACGUGUGAUUGUUUGCAGGUACCAUACGAAUAAGGACCGGCUAAUUCCGUGCCAGCAGCCGCGGUAAUACGGAAGGUUCGGGCGUUAUCCGGAUUUAUUGGGUUUAAAGGGAGCGUAGGCCGGAGAUUAAGUGUGUUGUGAAAUGUAGACGCUCAACGUCUGACUUGCAGCGCAUACUGGUUUCCUUGAGUACGCACAACGUUGGCGGAAUUCGUCGUGUAGCGGUGAAAUGCUUAGAUAUGACGAAGAACUCCGAUUGCGAAGGCAGCUGACGGGAGCGCAACUGACGCUGAAGCUCGAAGGUGCGGGUAUCGAACAGGAUUAGAUACCCUGGUAGUCCGCACAGUAAACGAUGGAUGCCCGCUGUUGGUACCUAGUAUCAGCGGCUAAGCGAAAGCAUUAAGCAUCCCACCUGGGGAGUACGCUGGCAACGGUGAAACUCAAAGGAAUUGACGG
rnacentral:rRNA from 1 species